rnacentral:rRNA from 1 species
GACGAACGCUGGCGGCGUGCUUAACACAUGCAAGUCGAACGGAAAGGCCCUGCUUUUGUGGGGUGCUCGAUUGGCGAACGGGUGAGUAACACGUGAGUAACCUGCCCUUGACUUUGGGAUAACUUCUGGAAACUGCGGCUAUUACCGGAUAGGAGCUCCUGCUGCGUGGUGGGGGUUGGAAAGUUUCGGCGGUUGGGGAUGGACUCGCGGCUUAUCCGCUUCUUGGUGGGGUAGUGGCUUACCAAGGCUGUGACGGGUAGCCGGCCUGAGAGGGUGACCGGCCACAUUGGGACUGAGAUACGGCCCAGACUCCUACGGGAGGCAGCAGUGGGGAAUAUUGCACAAUGGGCGGAAGCCAGAGGCAGCAACGCCGCGUGCGGGAUGACGGCCUUCGGGUUGUAAACAGAUUUCGCCUGUGACGAAGCGUGAGUGACGGUAAUGGGUAAAGAAGCACCGGCUAACUACGUG